rnacentral:rRNA from 1 species
GAGUUUGAUCGUGGCUCAGGAUGAACGCCGGCGGUGUGCCUAAUACAUGCAAGUCGUACGCACUGGCCCAACUGAUUGAUGGUGCUUGCACCUGAUUGACGAUGGAUCACCAGUGAGUGGCGGACGGGUGAGUAACACGUAGGUAACCUGCCCCGGAGCGGGGAUAACAUUUGGAAACAGAUGCUAAUACCGCAUAACAACAAAGGCCACAUGGCUUUUGUUUGAAAGAUGGCUUUGGCCAUCACUCUGGGAUGGACCUGCGGUGCAUUAGCUAGUUGGUAAGGUAACGGCUUACCAAGGCGAUGAUGCAUAGCCGAGUUGAGAGACUGAUCGGCCACAAUGGAACUGAGACACGGUCCAUACUCCUACGGGAGGCAGCAGUAGGGAAUCUUCCACAAUGGGCGCAAGCCUGAUGGAGCAACACCGCGUGAGUGAAGAAGGGUUUCGGCUCGUAAAGCUCUAUUGUUGGAGAAGAACGUGCGUGAGAGU